AAACCGGAAAAGGAGUUGAUCGGACAUCAGUUUGACUCGCAACAUGGCUGGCUUUAAACGUUCUUUGGGAUUAAUCCAACUUCUAUUCCUCUUUCUGGCAUCAGAAAUGUUUGGACUUUUGAUGGCAAGACCAACUCCACAAGGCUUAACGCUUGUUCAUUUUGGUGAUGCGCGUUUCUUGAAUUUCCCCUUUAUUUUUGGUGGCAGCCAAGAUCAGCGCAACUGGUUCUAAUGAUAGACUAAUGUUGAUUGCAAUCUUCAGCUGUUGGCGAUCAUGGAAAAGCAACACGGAAUAUAAAAUAAUGUAAAAGAAA